GAUCGGGUGGCCGAGUGGUUAAGGCGAUGGACUGCUAAUCCAUUGGGGUUUCCCCGCGUGAGUUCGAAUCU
rnacentral:tRNA from 1 species